rnacentral:tRNA from 1 species
GAUAUAGCUCAGUGGUAGAGCACUUGGCUAGCAUGUGCAAGGUUCUGGAUUCAACCCCCAGUACA